UGUGGCGGAAUUGGCAGACGCACCAGACUUAGGAUCUGGCGCCGCAAGGCGUGGGGGUUCGACUCCCUUCACCCGCA
rnacentral:tRNA from 1 species